AUGCAGCGCUUGACAGUCCAGCCAGACUGAGCCACCAACACCAGGGGUCCUGUGACCCAAACGGACUUUGCAAGAACAAUUCUUCACAGACUUGAGGCACACACUGAAGGUGGACCCUGUAUUCUUCACAGCCUUGGGGUGCAGACUAAGGGAGCAGCUGGAAGGCCUGAGAAGACUCAACUGCAAGGUAUUUGUUGUGGCAGGAAGAAAGCUGACUGACGGCCUCAGCUCUGGUGAUGGAAUCUCCGCUGCAAUAACUCAAUGGCAUGAGGAACGAAGAGACUAAGCUGAACCUUAGGACUUAGAGCAUGCGAGCUUGAAAGUCUCAAGAGUGUGAAUGCACUGUGCGGAAGAGGUGGCCUAGCUGCAAAUUACACAUCUACUGGUGGGCUCAGUCUGACAAAGGACUCAGGACUUAGAAAAAAGGGACAAAAGAUAAUGAGCAGAAAGCUCUCCAGCAACCACAUGGCCGGCCAGUAAGAAUAGGAGCGAAGCCUCAUUCGCCACCAGGGGAGUGAACUCAAAGCCUGCGGAGAGGUCCCCUUCUACUAGGAUGGUGCAAUUCCAAAAGUUCUAGAAGUGUCGGUGAGGAAGAAGGGUCUCAACCCUGCUCCUGCUCCUCAGUGAAUACUGAUAGCAACUGGAGCGGUUCAUUGCCACAGGCCACCAUGCUGGGGUUUUCUAUAUACCCUCCUUGUGAAGCCAGCAGCAACGACGAGCACACUAAAGACACCUCCGCUUUGUCUCCCACUACACCAACAAUAACUGUGCUUUGUGGGAGACCUGAACAGUGCAUCUAAGCUGUCAAGGAUUUCUAUGGUCUCUGAUGGUGUCAUGGAGUUUGUCCAGGAAAUAGGAAAUGAGAGGCUGUGGAUUCAAUUCUGUGGACAGAAAUUCAUUCUGUGGAUAAGGUUUGAGAUCAAGGAAGACCCCCAGAAAAAUCUCUGAUGAGAAUGGAUGGCCCAGAUGCACCAACGUUUCAGAGCAUCUCUGUUGCAGUUUCUUCUGAGUUCUGCAUCCAGAACAGCUUCAAGGCUGCUGGCUGAGAUAAUCCAGCCUCAAAGAAUACUCCAGUCAGGACUUGGGCUUGACCAUAAUCCUAAAUUUUCUUUGGGUCCCCAUAAGAUUACCAGCACCCCCAAUCAGCAGGAAGUAGCCUAGAAAACUAUGCCCACAUUCCCAAAAAAUAUAGAUUAUAGGUAUUUGUCAUUGUUUGGGGGGGGUUGGUUACAAGUAAUUGUAAUGGUCAUGAAAAAAAGCUAAAUAAAUGAAAUUAGAUUCAAGGUUCAUAUUUUGAAAAAAAGGGGAUAUAGAUAUGAUAUGAUAAAAGGGUAAAUUAUUGAACCUACUCUGAAAAGAAAAAUGGGAAGAUAUAGAUAAGAUAAAAAGGUAGAUUCUACUUUUAAAGCAACUGCUAGGGCUGGAGAGAUGGCUCAGAGGUUAAGAGCACUGGCUGCUCUUCCAGAGGUCCUGAGUUCAAUUCCCAGCAACAACAUGGUGGC